UACGUAGGGCGCGAGCGUUGUCCGGAAUUAUUGGGCGUAAAGAGCUCGUAGGCGGCUUGUCACGUCGGGUGUGAAAGACCGGGGCUUAACUCCGGUUCUGCAUUCGAUACGGGCUAGCUAGAGUGUGGUAGGGGGAGAUCGGAAUUCCUGGUGUAGCGGUGGAAUGCGCAGAUAUCAGGAGGAGCACCGGUGGCGAAGGCGGAUCUCUGGGCCGAUACUGACGCUGAGGAGCGAAAGCGUGGGGAGCGAACAGG
rnacentral:rRNA from 1 species